rnacentral:tmRNA from 1 species
CUUGCAAUUUCCACAGUAAAUAUUUAUAAUACCCUUGUCACGCAAGUGAUGAUGAUUCUGAAAUCUUUGUGGAAUAGACGUUUUGGACUGGGGGGCGGUACCCCACAGCUCCACCAUUAUUAUUUCAGAGAAUCAUUGUGGCUGUGAAUAUUCAGACAGCGGCCAGAAUGAUUUUUAUUGGGGCUGACAUAGUUUCGACAGGCGCAGUAAAGACAAAAGAUUGAAUCCGACGUGGCGUCGUUAAAAGCCGAUUAAAAACUGAAUGGCGAUAGAAUCGCUGCGAACGACAAUGUUCGCCUUGCAAUGGCUGCCUAAUAUGGCAUCGGAUAUGAUUGGCGAUUGUUGAUUAUAUCCACUUCGCUUAUUGCGGGGCCGUCGGGUGCCCGGCAACAGAAACCC